GACAGAGGGGGCAAGCGUUGCUCGGAAUCACUGGGCGUAAAGGGCUCGUAGGUGGCCAACUAAGUCAGACGUGAAAUCCCUCAGCUUAACUGGGGAACUGCGUCUGAUACUGGAUGGCUUGAGUUUGGGAGAGGGAUGCGGAAUUCCAGGUGUAGCGGUGAAAUGCGUAGAUAUCUGGAGGAACACCGGUGGCGAAGGCGGCAUCCUGGACCAACACUGACACUGAUGAGCGAAAGCCAGGGGAGCAAACGGG
rnacentral:rRNA from 1 species